UGAGGAAUCUUGCGCAAUGGGGGAAACCCUGACGCAGCAACGCCGCGUGAGUGAGGAAGGUCUUCGGAUCGUAAAGCUCUGUCGGGUGGAAAGAAAUGUAUGGGGUUAAUAGCCUGCAUACUUGACGGUACCACCAAAGGAAGCACCGGCUAACUCCGUGCCAGCAGCCGCGGUAAUACGGGGGGUGCAAGCGUUGUUCGGAAUUAUUGGGCGUAAAGAGCGUGUAGGCGGCUUGGUAAGUCAGAUGUGAAAGCCCUGGGCUUAACCCAGGAAGUGCAUUUGAAACUGCCAGGCUUGAGUAGGGGAGAGGGAAGUGGAAUUCCUGGUGUAGAGGUGAAAUUCGUAGAUAUCAGGAGGAAAACCGGUGGCGAAGGUGACCUCCUGGCCCUAUACUGACGCUGAGACGCGAGAGCGUGGGUAGCAAACA
rnacentral:rRNA from 1 species